UUUCAGGGAUGGGAAUCGAACACACAGUGUUCCGCUUACCGGGCAGAUGCCAUGUCCACUAGUUUAUCCUGGA
rnacentral:tRNA from 1 species